UUAAGCUCAAUUAAAUCAAAAACAAAAUGAAAGAGGAAAUUAGGUUAGAGUUUUAUGACCAUUGCAAUUUCAUCUUCUUCACGUGCGAGCGAGGCUUCUUCUUCCUUCGUGAACUCACGCAGACGGCGGUGCGCGAGACAUCCUCCUCCGGCGAACGGCGCCUCCCUCUCCACUCUUGCCAAUUAACUCUCCGGCCGUCGUGAAUGAAGAAACCAAAACAACAUCAUCUCGUCUCUCCAACUCCAUCGUCUCUCACCUCAAUCUCUCGUUUCCGAUUUGAACCUCUCGGUUCUCCUCUCGAUUUCGCUCUCAGUUCUCUCAGAAUUAGAUCGAUGGAGGUUUGUUGAAGAGGUGCGUUGAAUCAGUGGUGAUUUUCUGAAGUGCGAAGAAUAAUGGAUCGGUGAUGAUGAAACCGUGAAGAGCUUUUGGAAGAUGAUGCUGAGAAGAUUGAAUCACGUUCAAAGAUUGUCGACUCAAGGUUUUCGGUGAUUUUUCUAUUGAAUUUUGUUGAAUGAUGUUACGGUGAAUCAUUGAAGGAAUUGAUGAAUGGAGUUUUUGUGAGAAUGAGAGAUUGAAGAUUGAAGAGUCAUGGUAGUGGGGCGGUGAUGAAGAGGUGAAGGUUUGGAGGUGAAGAUUGAAGGUUAUCAAUUGAAGGUGCGGUUGGAGAAGUUUCCAUUUGCCAUGAAGAUUUUCUGAGAGUUUGUUAUGAGGUUUGGAUCAAUGGAGAGAGUGAAGCUUGUCCGAAAAAGUUUGUUACAGGCCCUUCCCGUAUGCAAGUUGCGGUUCGGUUUUAAUGUCGGUAGAAGCUGAGUUUGGAUGAUUCACCUUUGUGUAGAGGUUGUCGGUUUAUUUAGCACUACUCUGAACCGUUUCUCCGUUUCGGUUUUGUUUGUUAGAUGAUGCAGGCUGGUUCGGUUUUCUUACUUCAGAAAGUUGGCUUGAAUGCAGCAGGUGGAUUUUGAUGGAGCAUGAAGGACAAAUCCUUUUUCUUGUAUAAUUUUGUAAUAUUGGUUUUAGUGGGCUUUGUAAUUUGAAUGGCUUUGUGAAUGAAGUUGAAUGUAAUAACAUUUGUAUGGACUUUGAAUUGAAAUAUGGUUGAAUGAUCUUGAAUCUUGUAUAUCAAAAUACAUACGAAUGAAACUUCCAACUUGAACCAAUUUCUUUGCCAAAUGCUUAAGAACGAACCAAUUAGUCUUGAACACAAAACUAAAUUCAUGUUAUUAAGUAGUCUCUUGAAUCGACACAACUUUAUACCUCAUACUUGCACAAGAAUGUGAAUUAAAACCUUGUACGCCGUCUUAGAUCCAAGUCAACUUAUAUUGCAAACAACGAGUAACAGUGAUGAGAAUAAAACUUCUUUGAUCACAAUGAAUCUACAAAUUCACCUCUCAUGUCAUGACUCGC